GACGAACGCUGGUGGCGUGCCUAAUACAUGCAAGUUGAGCGCUGAAGGUUGGUACUUGUACCAACUGGAUGAGCAGCGAACGGGUGAGUAACGCGUGGGGAAUCUGCCUUUGAGCGGGGGACAACAUUUGGAAACGAAUGCUAAUACCGCAUAAAAACUUUAAACACAAGUUUUAAGUUUGAAAGAUGCAAUUGCAUCACUCAAAGAUGAUCCCGCGUUGUAUUAGCUAGUUGGUGAGGUAAAGGCUCACCAAGGCGAUGAUACAUAGCCGACCUGAGAGGGUGAUCGGCCACAUUGGGACUGAGACACGGCCCAAACUCCUACGGGAGGCAGCAGUAGGGAAUCUUCGGCAAUGGACGAAAGUCUGACCGAGCAACGCCGCGUGAGUGAAGAAGGUUGUCGGAUCGUAAAACUCUGUUGGUAGAGAAGAACGUUGGUGAGAGUGGAAAGCUCAUCAAGUGACGGUAACUACCCAGAAAGGGACGGCUAACUACGUG
rnacentral:rRNA from 1 species